AGGAAGUGGACGCCAUCACUUCAGGCUGAGGCGUCACCAGCACGUCUGCUGUCACCGACGUGUCCAUGCCCAGGCUGCAGGACCAGAGGACAUGAGACAGAAAACUUCCUGGAACCUGAAACUGUUCCCCAACUAACCGCUAGAUGGGAGUGCUGCCUCAGAGAAGAACAUGGAGUCACCGGGCUGGAAUUCAAGUGAAAAACAAAGUUUCCAUGACACGAAGGGAGGAGGGGGGAGGAUCGGGGGAGAUUUUCCACUACCACACUUCACCUCACGGCGACCGCGUCUGGAAACAUGAUAUCUACAAGAAAAAGAAAAAAAGAAGGUUUUCAGUCUGAGGAGCAGAGAGGAGUGAAGUCACUGACACUAUCUCUGUCUGAGCCAUCAUCACACCUACACCGCCCCUGGUGGCUGAGCAGGAGGUGUUCACCAGUUUGACUCUGACCUGAGAGUAUCUGCUGGUCCACUGCUGCCCCCUGUGGUCAUGUUAUGAAGCUCUGAUGAAACGGUGUGAGGAGCAACACUUCAGCUGGUCCAGGCUCCCAACAUGUCUUCAAACACAGCACGAUGGAGCGACACCUGAUGGUCAAACUGAGGAUGACAACAAAGACUGACAAGAUGAGGUGUUUGAAGAUUGAACUCAGUGACACAAGCUGACCACAGGAGGCAGCAGUGGACCGGCAGCGCCCUUGGUCUCUGUGAGAGGGCAACAGCACCAACCACUGUGCCACCGUGUGGUCGAGGUCUGGAUUAAAAGUAAAGACCCAAAAAAGAGCCUCAAACAGAGAAUGUUUUUCAUUAGUUGGACAAAUGUUGGCGCUCACGCUGAGAUUUCUUCUCCCUGUGAGAUGGACGGCGCUCCCACCGCCUCAAACCACUUUCUGUGAAUCGUAAAGUUCGGACAUUUUGAACCCAGAUGCAGGAAUUUACAGCCUCGUUAGACGUUUCUUUCUUCAGGAGUCAGAUUUCUUCUUCAUGUGUCCGAUCGGUGCAGAGAGGACGUCAACGCUCCUCGGUGCGUUUCAGUCACGAGUGGACCAACCGCGGGUUAAGGACCGACCCCAGGGUCAGAGGUCACAGGACCAUAAAUCGUCUGAGAUACAACAGAGAGAGCCAUCGUUGACCUUCACAGCUGCAGCUGAAGAGUCCAAACGUCUGCCAGAGAAGAAGAAGAGUGGAGCUAACAGCAGCUUCACCUGCAGCGACUCAAACUGAAAACCUCGCUGGAAUCGGACCAACAUCAGCCCCAAGAGUUCAAAAAAAAAAAAAAAGGCCCCCAGCUAAAGGUUAGCUAAAGCUACAGCCAAAUAGUCUGAGCUACCAGAUGGUUGAAUUAUUAUAUUGAACAGAGGUCAAAUUCAAAUGUUGGUCUAAACAUGAACUCUUUAGCGCCACCUGAGGGCAGUUACUGAGCCCAGCUUCAGAUUCUCAACCAUCUAAUUGAAUAAAGUCGUACAGAGAGAAAUUCCUGCCCCUGCUUUUAAUAUUAGCUCCAUUUAAUCAACAACAUUUGUCCGUUCGUCUCAUUGUUGGACGCAGGAGUGAGAAGCUGCUGCAGUCUGUGAAGGUUCUGAAGUGUGGAGCUGAAUUAGAGGAGAAAAAAAGUCCAAAACAAUAAAGUCUUGAAAAACGUCCCUUAGACCCUGAGGGACACCAACAUCACACCGAGGAAGACGGAGGUCCAGACCGGACGUUGGACAGAAACCUGGGUCAGAUCUGAGCUGCAGGUCGAAGAAAAACCUCAGACGAACCAAAAGGAAACGCCUGACCUCUGACCCCUGACCCCCGGGUUAAAACAAGUGUUUAAAGUGGUCAGAGGACGAAGAAGUCCUACCUAAACUCCAGUGGAUUUCCAGAGGUGAACUCAGAGGUGGACCAACAGCUGCUAAAAUCACUGGUUUUCUCUAUGAGGUUUGGUAUGGGAGACUGAGCCUGCAGAUACACUGGUGGUCACAGCAGAUCCUCUCAUCUUGUUUCAGGGUUCGGAGUUCUUCACACAGGUGUUUCAGUCGUUACACUGCAGCCGGCC